AAGCAGUGGAUUAUGUGGUUUAAUUCGACGCAACGCGAAGAACCUUACCAGGGCUUGACAUACCCCUGACCGCGUAUGAAAGUACGUUUUCACUUCGGGUGACAGGGAGACAGGUGGUGCAUGGUUGUCGUCAGCUCGUGUCGUGAGAUGUUGGGUUAAGUCCCGCAACGAGCGCAACCCCUACGUUUAGUUGCUAACGCGUGAAGGCGAGCACUCUAGACGAACUGCCGUUGACAAAACGGAGGAAGGUGGGGAUGACGUCAAAUCAUCAUGCCCCUUAUGUUCUGGGCUACACACGUGCUACAAUGGCCGGUACAGACGGACGCAAAGCCGCGAGGUGGAGCAAAUCCGAAAAAGCCGGUCUCAGUUCGGAUUGCAGGCUGCAAUUCGCCUGCAUGAAGUCGGAAUCGCUAGUAAUCGCAGGUCAGCAUACUGCGGUGAAUACGUUCCCGGGCCUU
rnacentral:rRNA from 1 species